rnacentral:rRNA from 1 species
UACGGAGGGUGCAAGCGUUAUCCGGAUUUACUGGGCUUAAAGGGUGUGUAGGCGGACUUUUAAGUCAGGGGUGAAAUCCCGAGGCUCAACCUCGGAACUGCCUUUGAUACUAUUGGUCUUGAAUGUUGUUGAGGUGGGCGGAACGGGUCAUGUAGCGGUGAAAUGCAUAGAUAUGACCCGGAACACCGAUUGCGAAAGCAGCCCGCUAAGCAACUAUUGACGCUGAGGCACGAAAGCGUGGGGAUCAAACAGG